rnacentral:lncRNA from 1 species
GUUUUUUGCAGAGAAAUGUGCAUUCAUAGGUGUGCAAAGCAUGCAGGUGUGUGCAGAAUGCGAAGGCAUUUUUUUUUUUUGGAAUUUUGAGAAAGUUCUUGAGGUAGUACCUAUAUCAAAUAGGCAGAAAUAUAUUCUCUUUGUAAUUGCUUCACUCUAGCUAUAUCUGAGUUUGUAUGAUUACAUCUUGGUAUAAGCAACAUUCACAGAGCCUACUUUGCUUUUUAGUACACAAGCAACCUGGGUGCAAUUUUGGGGCGCAAGCUUGUCUUUAGGGUCCUGGGUGAUCAUACAACCUGUCAAGCAUUUCUUAGCCUAAUUGCUUGUUUGGUAGAUGAGGCUCAUGUAGGUAGUAUAAAGGUAAAUCAUAGAUCUGAAUAAGAGUGAAUCUGUGCUUAUUAAUUCUUGAGAAAAGAUAUUCUCCUCUUCCUCAUCCCACUUGCUUAGAUGCCCACAUGGAGAUAAGCAAGAUGUUGUGGUUUAGAUCUAGAAUGUUCUCCUGAAGCCUGGUGUGUUCAGAGAUGGGGUUUGUAGAAGGUGAUUGGAUCCUAGGGCACUAUACCCAUCAACAGACUCAUCCAUUCGUUAGUUCAGUAGCUGAAUCUGCUGUUAGAAGGUGAGGCCUGGUUCUAGGUGGGUCACUGGGUGCAUGACCUGGGAGGGCACACUCUUGUCCCUCAUUCUUGCCUUCUCUCUCUGCUUCCUGAAAGCCGUGAUAUGAUCAGCUUCCCUCCACGUCAGGUCUGCCACCAUAUUGUUUCUGUGUUUGAGCCUGCAGGCCAUGAACUGAAACUUCUGAAACUGUGAGCCCAAACAGACUUUUCCUCCAUUCAGUUGUGCCUGUUGGGUAUUUUGCCCCAACGAUGGGAAAGUAACAGAGAUACAAGCAUUCCUGUUGCCUCUUCAUGCUGUACUACAGUCUUAUGUGAGCUUGCUUCUCCAGAGGAAGCAGAGAUUGAAAUGUCACACCAGCAUGAUCAAUUAGAUAAUGCAGAACAGAGAGGCAUUUGCUACCUGACAUUAAUACAUAGGAUAAGAAUGACUGAAUGGAGACAAUGGAAUAAAAGAUGCAAAGGUAAAAGAAAUCAGCAGAGCACAGUUUAAAAGCUGUAUUAAUGUUGACUCAUCAAAAAAAAUCCUCAGGCCAGACAAAUGCUUAAUGUGGUGUACACUGGUUCACUUGCUUGUUCAAUUCUGAGACACUAACAAAUAAACACAUGUAACAGAAACAUGAUAGAAGAGGAAGAUGUUAAGUUUUAAAAAAAUUUUAGAUUUUGUCUUGGUUAACAAAAGUGACAAUGAGAAAGACAGAUGCAAACUGUAUGCAGGCUGUAGGAUGUCCUAUGAAGAAGACAGUAGAUAAUAAAUGGGG